GCAUUGGUUGUUCAGUGGUAGAAUUCUUGCCUCCCACGCAGGAGACCCAGGUCCGAAUCCCGGUCAAUGCA
rnacentral:tRNA from 1 species